UUCAGUUCCCAGCAACCACUUGGUGCUCACAACCACCUGUAAUGUGAUCUGAUGCCCUCUUCUAGUGUGUUUGAAGAGAGUGACAGUGUACUCACAUACAUAAAAGAAAUCUUUUUUUAAAAUGGUAGAGUAUUUGUAUAGAACCUGAUUUGUAGUAUCUGAUAUAAUACAUAUGUUCUGUAAGUUGCUAAACAAUAUUAAUCAGGGAAUGAAGAAGGAAAAGAAGUCAGAUGUAAUUUCUCCCCCAGUUUUUUUUUAUUCAUUUAUUUACUGGUGCUGGGGACAACCCAGUGCCACCUUUGAUACUGUCAGCCCUCCCCUGAAUAUUUUCUGUCAUGGUUGGAUCUGUGCACAAGCUCAUGAAUAUAGGACCCUAAAUGUGAGCCUCCAUAAAGGUUUUAGGAGCUAAGCCUCAGUUCUUUCAGAGCAACCAGUGCUCUUAACUACAGAGCCAUCUCUCCAUUCCCCUAAAUGUACUUAAAAGUGCCAAGGAAAAAUAGUAACUUUACAGGAUAGAAACCUGACAGGUACCAUCUUUUUUUUUCUUAAGAUUUUAUUUAUUUAUUAUAUGUAAGUACACUGUAGCUGUCUUCAGAUCUCAUUACAGGUGGUUGUGAGCCACCAUGUGGUGGCUGGGAUUUGAACUCAGGACCUCUGGAAGAGCAGUCAGUGCUCUUAACCGCUGAGCCAUCUCACCAGCCCGAUAGGUACCAUCUUUAUGGUAUAUUAGACCUCUGUUUUCCAAAAAAGACUGGGUGAGCUACAAAAAGGCCUAUAAUCAAAAGCAUCAAGGCUAGGAACACCAAAGACUGAAGGAAACAUCAUCUGAGCAUUCUAGCAGUGAGGUCUACCCAGGCUGCUUCAUGUAAAAUUCUCAGGCCUCCCCUGCCAUCAUCCCUGUGUUCCAUUGUGCUGCCUUCCACAAUUCAUCCAGUCACAUGAAGUCUUACUUUUCCAUGUUUGUUCUAUUAUUUGUUGCUUGCAUUGUAACAAAGACACCAUGAUGUAAGGGACUUUUGUCUGUCUUGCUGCUUACUCUGUUGCCACUGGUGAGAACAGGGUUUGACACCUUGGAGGCAGGAAGAAAUGCACACAUCACAACUUUCUGAAUCCCUCUCAUUCUCAGCAAUCCAUUAUUUUGUGUCUAUGGUGUUUAAGGUUGAGCUCAUGCUAUGUAAGUGUUCUUACCACUGAGGUACACUGCCACCCCUAGGAUACUAUUUUAAAGCUUUAGUCAAACAUGGUGGCAUAGACCUGUAGUUCCAGCCACUGGGGAGGGGGAUGAAGGAAAGUUGGACCCAGAGACUUAAUUGAGCCCAAAAGUAUGAGGCUAGCCUGAACAUCAUAGGAGGACAAAAACUACAUUGGGAGAAGGAAAGAGGCAGGGAGGAAAAGUUCUAGAUUGAUAUAUUAAAGAUUCUUAGGGCUCC
rnacentral:lncRNA from 1 species